GAUGAACGCUGGCGGCGUGCCUAAUACAUGCAAGUCGAGCGAACGGACGAGAAGCUUGCUUUUCUGAUGUUAGCGGCGGACGGGUGAGUAACACGUGGAUAACCUACCUAUAAGACUGGGAUAACUUCGGGAAACCGGAGCUAAUACCGGAUAAUAUUUUGAACCGCAUGGUUCAAAAGUGAAAGACGGUCUUGCUGUCACUUAUAGAUGGAUCCGCGCUGCAUUAGCUAGUUGGUAAGGUAACGGCUUACCAAGGCAACGAUGCAUAGCCGACCUGAGAGGGUGAUCGGCCACACUGGAACUGAGACACGGUCCAGACUCCUACGGGAGGCAGCAGUAGGGAAUCUUCCGCAAUGGGCGAAAGCCUGACGGAGCAACGCCGCGGGAGUGAUGAAGGUCUUCGGAUCGUAAAACUCUGUUAUUAGGGAAGAACAUAUGUGUAAGUAACUGUGCACAUCUUGACGGUACCUAAUCAGAAAGCCACGGCUAACUACGU
rnacentral:rRNA from 1 species